CUACCAAGACAGUGACGGUUGACGGGGAAUUAGGGUUUUAUACCGGAGAGGGAGCCUGAGAGAUUGCUCCCACGUCCAAGGACGGCAGCAGGCGCGAAAAUUGCCCACUGUUUGUAGGAGGCAGUUAUGAGACGUGAAGAAGAAUAUUUGGCAAAGAGAAAUAGGAGAAUUGGAGGGCAAGUUUGGUGCCAGCAGCCGCGGUAAUACCGACUCCAAGAGUGUGUAUGGGAGAUGCUGCAGUUAAAAAGUCCGUAGUCAUGUAUAUGUAAAUCGAGGUGGAUGCCUCUGAAAGAAAGUAUGGAAGAACCAAUGGGGAAGACAGUAUACCAGGGCGAGAGAUGAAAUGUCAAGACCCCUGGUGGACUAAGCGAGGCGAAAGCGGUUUCCUUGUGGGGAUUUGAUGAUCAAGGACGAAGGGUGGAGGAUCGAAAGUGAUUAGAUACCGCAGUAGUUCCAGCAGUAAAAGAUGCC
rnacentral:rRNA from 1 species